UCUCUGGUAGUAUAUCGGUUAGUACACGCGCCUGUCAUAAUUUCGAUACUGGUUUGCUCCGCGCGAAAGCUGGGUUCGACUCCCAGCCAGAGAG